CGAGAAAUGCCGCCGGGUAUGCUUUUUGCUCAUUCCGUUAGGCCUUAGAAGGAAUGUGGCAGGAGGCGUUUUUUUA
rnacentral:ncRNA from 1 species